AUUGAACGCUGGCGGCAUGCCUUACACAUGCAAGUCGAACGGCAGCACGGGGGCAACCCUGGUGGCGAGUGGCGAACGGGUGAGUAAUGCAUCGGAACGUGCCCAGUAGUGGGGGAUAACCCGGCGAAAGCCGGGCUAAUACCGCAUACGACCUACGGGUGAAAGCGGGGGACCGUAAGGCCUCGCGCUAUUGGAGCGGCCGAUGUCUGAUUAGCUAGUUGGCGGGGUAAAGGCCCACCAAGGCGACGAUCAGUAGCUGGUCUGAGAGGACGACAAGCCACACUGGGACUGGGACACGGCCCAGACUCCUACGGGAGGCAGCAGUGGGGAAUUUUGGACAAUGGGCGCAAGCCUGAUCCAGCCAUGCCGCGUGCGGGAAGAAGGCCUUCGGGUUGUAAACCGCUUUUGGCAGGAACGAAACGGCGCAAGCUAAUACCUUGCGCUAAUGACGGUACCUGCAGAAUAAGCACCGGCUAACUACGUGCCAGCCGCCGCCGUAAAAC
rnacentral:rRNA from 1 species